rnacentral:rRNA from 1 species
UACGUAGGGUGCGAGCGUUAAUCGGAAUUACUGGGCGUAAAGCGUGCGCAGGCGGUCUGUUAAGACCGAUGUGAAAUCCCCGGGCUUAACCUGGGAACUGCAUUGGUGACUGGCAGGCUUUGAGUGUGGCAGAGGGAGGUAGAAUUCCACGUGUAGCAGUGAAAUGCGUAGAGAUGUGGGGGAAUACCGAUGGCGAAGGCAGCCUCCUGGGCCAACACUGACGCUCAUGCACGAAAGCGUGGGGAGCAAACAGG